UAAAUACUCCCUCCGUCCGAAAAUACUUGUCAUCAAAAUGGAUAAAAAGAGAUGUAUCUAAAAUUAAAAUACGUCUAGAUAUAUUUCCUUUUAUCCAUUUUGAUGACAAGUAUUUCCGGACGGAGGGAGUAUUUG
rnacentral:pre_miRNA from 1 species